rnacentral:rRNA from 1 species
AGCAGCCGCGGUAAUUCCAGCUCCAAUAGCGUAUAUUAAAGUUGUUGCAGUUAAAAAGCUCGUAGUUGAAUUUCGGAGUUUGUCGGUUGGUCGGGCUUCACUGUCCACACUGACCUGAUGGAUUCCUACCUUCUGAAUAACCAGCAUGCUAUUAAUUUAGUGCGUUGGGGAAGCAGAGCUAUUACCUUGAAAAAUUAGAGUGCUUAAAGCAGGCUUACGCUUGAAUAGAUUAGCAUGGAAUAAUAAAAUAGGACGGCUUGGUUCUAUUUUGUUGGUUUCUAGGAUCACCGUAAUGAUUAAUAGGGAUAGUUGGGGGCAUUAGUAUUCAAUUGUCAGAGGUGAAAUUCUUGGAUUUAUUGGAGACUAACUUCUGCGAAAGCAUUUGCCAAGGAUGUUUUCAUUAAUCAAGAACGAAAGUUAGGGGAUCGAAGACGAUCAGAUACCGUCGUAGUCUUAACCAUAAACUAUGCCGACUAGGGAUCGGGCGAUGUUAUUUUUGACUCGCUCGGCACCUUACGGG